UACGUAGGGGGCUAGCGUUGUCCGGAAUCAUUGGGCGUAAAGAGCGCGUAGGCGGCUAGAUAAGUCCGGUGUGAAAGUCACAGGCUCAACCUGUGAAUGCCGCUGGAAACUGUCUGGCUAGAGUCCGGAAGGGGCGAGUGGAAUUCCUGGUGUAGCGGUGAAAUGCGCAGAUAUCAGGAGGAACACCAAUGGCGAAGGCAGC
rnacentral:rRNA from 1 species